GGGGGCCCCCAUGGCUUCGGCCCGGCGGCCCCGGCGGCUCCACCCUGCGGGACCAGUACGGACCAGUAUAGACCAGUAUGGACCAGUAUGGAAUGGCAUGGACCGGUAUGGAGUGGUAUGGACUGGUAUGGACCAGUAUAGACCAGUAUAAACCAGUAUGGAACGGUAUGGACCGGUAUGGAACGGUAUGGAAUGGUAUAAACCAGUAUGGACUGGUAUGGACCAGUAUGGACCAGUAUAGACCAGUAUGGACCGUUAUGGAACGGUAUGGAACGGUAUGGACCAGUAUAAACCAGUUUGGAACAGUAUAGGAAUGGUAUGGAAUGGUAUGGACCAGUAUAAACCAGUAUGGAACGGUAUGGAAUGGUAUGGAAUGGUAUAAACUAGUAUGGACCAGUAUAGACCAGUAUAGACCAGUAUGAAAUGGUAUGGACCGGUAUAAUCUGGUACGGACUGGUAUAAACCAGUAUAAACCAGUAUAAAGUGGUAUGGACCAGUAUAAACCAGUAUGGACUGGUAUGGAAUGGUAUAAACCGGUAUGGACUGGUAUGGACCAGUAUAAACUGGUAUGGACCAGUAUGAACCAGUAUGGAAUGGUAUGGACCAGUAUGGACCGGUAUGAAGCAGUAUAAACCAGUAUGGACCAGUAUGGACUGGUAUGAACCAGUAUGGAAUGGUAUGAACCAGUACAAACCAGUAUAAACCAGUAUGGACCUGUAUGGACUGGUGCAGACCAGUAUAAACCAGUAUGAACGGGUAUGGACUGGUAUAAACCAGUAUGAACCAGUAUAGACCAGUACGGACCAGUAUAGACCAGUAUGGAACGGUAUGGACCAGUAUGAACCAGUAUGGAGUGGUAUGGAAUGGUACAAACCAGUAUGGACCAGUAUGGAAAGGAGAAUUCCCAGUAUUAACCAGUAUGGACCAGUACGGACCAGUAUGGGAAUGGGAACUCCCAGUAUGGACCAGUAUGGACCAGUAUAAACCGGUAUGGACCAGUGGUUCCCAGUAUGGCCCAGUGCCCUCCCAGUAUGAAAAUAUGAAUUCCCAGUCCCUCCCAGUCCCUCCCAGUCUGUCCCAGUGUUCCCAGUUUGCCCAGUUUGGCUCCCAGUCUGUCCCAGUGUUCCCAGUUUGGCUCUCCAUCCCUCCCAGUCCGGCCCAGUCCCUCCCAGUUUGCCCAGUUUGGUUCCUGGUGCUCCCAGUUUGGUUCCCAGUCCCUUCCAGUGUUCCCACUCUGUCCCAGUUUGGCUCCCAGUGUUCCCAGUUUGGCUCCCAGUUUGGUUCCCAGUUUAUCCCAGUCCAUCCCAGUUUGGCUCCCAGUCCAUCCCAGUUUAUCCCAGUCCAUCCCAGUCCAUCCCAGUCCAUCCCAGUUUGGCUCUCACCGCUCAGGGCGGGCCCAGGGCCUCUCCCGGGGCCGCUUUGUCCCGCGGGGCCGCCUUGGUCAGAGCCUUCUCCUGGGGACGGACGGACAGACGGACACGGGGACGGACAGAGGGACAGACGGACAGGGAGGGACAGACGGACAGGGAGGGACAGACGGACAGAGGGACAGACGGACAGAAGAAUGGACACGGGGACACACGGACGCACGGACACCGGGACACACGGACAGACAGAGGGACAUGUGUGACAGGGAGGGACAGACGGACACGGGGACAUGGGAACGGACACGGGGACAGACAGAGGGACACGGGGACAGACGGACAGAGGGACACGGGGAUGGACACAAGGACAGAUGGACACAGGGACAGGCAGAGACAGAGGGACGGGGGACACAGGGACAGAGGGACACCAGGACAGAUGGACAGAGGGACAGAGGGACAGAUGGACAGAGGGACGGACAGGGGGACAGACAGAGGGACAGUGGGACACCAGGACAGACAGAUGGACACGGGGACAGGGAGGGACAGACGGACACCGGGAUGGACAGACACGGGGACAGAGGGACAGAGGGACAGAGGGACAGACGGACACGGGGACAGAGGGACACAGGGACAAGGGCAUGGACACGGGGACAGGGAGGGACAGAGGGACAGAGGGACAUGGGGACAGACGGACGGACACGGGGACAGGGAGGGACAGAGGGACACGGGGACAGACGGACAGAGGGACAGGACAGGACAGGACAGACGGACGCUGUCAGGGAUCCCGAGGCCCCCUUUGGAUUCCGGGGCCCCCCAU
rnacentral:lncRNA from 1 species